UACGUAGGGUGCGAGCGUUGUCCGGAAUUAUUGGGCGUAAAGGGCUCGUAGGCGGUUUGUCGCGUCGGGAGUGAAAACCAGGUGCUUAACACCUGGCUUGCUUUCGAUACGGGCAGACUAGAGGUAUUCAGGGGAGAACGGAAUUCCUGGUGUAGCGGUGAAAUGCGCAGAUAUCAGGAGGAACACCGGUGGCGAAGGCGGUUCUCUGGGAAUGACCUGACGCUGAGGAGCGAAAGUGUGGGGAGCGAACAGG
rnacentral:rRNA from 3 species